rnacentral:rRNA from 1 species
AGGGAAUAUUGGACAAUGGGGGCAACCCUGAUCCAGCCAUGCCGCGUGAGUGAAGAAGGCCCUCGGGUUGUAAAGCUCUUUUGUCCGGAAAGAAAAGCAUUCGGUGAAUACCCGGAUGUUCUGACGGUACCGGAAGAAUAAGUACCGGCUAACUUCGUGCCAGCAGCCGCGGUAAUACGAAGGGUGCAAGCGUUACUCGGAAUUACUGGGAGUAAAGCGUGCGUAGGUGGUUGUUUAAGUCUGAUGUUAAAGCCCUGGGCUCAACCUGGGAAUGGCAUUCGAAACUGGGCAGCUAGAGUGCGGUAGAGGGUAGUGGAAUUCCCGGUGUAGCAGUGAAAUGCGUAGAGAUCGGGAGGAACAUCUGUGGCGAAGGCGACUGCCUGGACCAGCACUGACACUGAGGCACGAAAGCGUGGGGAGCAAACA